AUUGAACGCUGGCGGCAGGCCUAACACAUGCAAGUCGAGCGGAGCGGCGGACGGGUGCGUAAUGCCUAGGAAUCUGCCUGGUAGUGGUGGAUAACGUCCGGCAACGGGCGCUAAUACCGCAUCCUAUCAGAUGAGCCUAGGUCGGAUUAGCUAGUGGGUGGGUUCAAGGCCUACCAAGGCGACGGUCGGUAACUGGCCUGAGGGGAUGAUCCGUCACACUGGAACUGAGAAACGGUCCGGACUCUUACGGGAGGAAGCAGUGGGGAAUAUUGGACAAUGGGGGAAAGCCGGAUCCAGCAAUGCCGCGUGUGUGAAGAAGGUCUUCGGAUUGUAAAGCACGUUAAGUUGGGAGGCGGUACCAACAGAAUAAGCACCGGCUAACUACGUGCCAGCCGCCGCGGUAAUAC
rnacentral:rRNA from 1 species